UAUUGUCACUUGGAAUCCAUUCAUCUUUCUUUAUAGGAACAUAUUUCCGUUUUUGGCAUUAAAGAAAUCUAGCCACAACAUUAGCAUGAUAGAGCAAAAAAGUAGUUAGCUUGUAGUUGAUAUGAAGACAUGAGGAAUCCAGGCCAUAGGAAUAAAUGCCUGCCUCCACCCUGGGGGAAGGGAAAAAAUUCCCUUCGUUUUGGUUGGAUCAACAACAAUGAAAAGAAACCACAAGUGAAUAUGCUCCAGAAGCCUGAAGCAAGAGCAACAAAGCAUACAAGCUGGGAGAUGGAGCACAGCACUAAAUAAAGGGAACUGUGGCUAUUAGAUUUCAAAUGUGUCAACAAUACCCC